CUUCCCAAAUGGCUGCAAUGGCUGAAGCUGGGUCAGUCCACAGGCCAUAAGCAGGGAGCUGAAUUAGAACUGGAGCAACCCAGACGUAAACUGGCACCCCUGUGGCACUGCAGGUGGAGGAUUCGCUUGCUGUGCCAUCUCGCCGUGUCACCUCGCCAUCUGUGUCACUCCCAGCUCUAACUUCCUGCUGACAUCCAGCCUGGGAAGCAUUGGGUUUGGCUCCUGAUACCCACAAGGGACAUCGCGAUCGAGUUCCUCACUCCAGCUGUCACCUGGCCCAGCCCUGGCUCUAUUGAGAAUUUGUGGAAAAUAACAGUGAAUGGGGGAAUCUGUCAGUCUGCCUCACUGCCUUUUGAAUAAAUGAUACGACGUUUUA